CUUAGUAACGGCGAGUGAAGCGACAAAAGCUCAAAUUUGAAAUCUGGCACCUUCGGUGUCCGAGUUGUAAUUUGAAGAAGGUAACUUUGGAGUUGGCUCUUGUCUAUGUUCCUUGGAACAGGACGUCACAGAGGGUGAGAAUCCCGUGCGAUGAGAUGUCCAACUCUAUGUAAAGUGCUUUCGAAGAGUCGAGUUGUUUGGGAAUGCAGCUCUAAGUGGGUGGUAAAUUCCAUCUAAAGCUAAAUAUUGGCGAGAGACCGAUAGCGAACAAGUACAGUGAUGGAAAGAUGAAAAGAACUUUGAAAAGAGAGUGAAAAAGUACGUGAAAUUGUUGAAAGGGAAGGGUUUGAGAUCAGACUUGGUAUUUUGUAUGUCUUGCUUUCGGGUGGGGCCUCUGCAGUUUACUGGGCCAGCAUCGGUUUGGACGGUAGGAUAAUGACAUUGGAAUGUGGCACUACUUCGGUGGUGUGUUAUAGACUUUGUUGAUACUGCCUGUCUAGACCGAGGACUGCGUCUUUGACUAGGAUGCUGGCAUAAUGAUCCUAAACCGCC
rnacentral:rRNA from 1 species